GACGAACGCUGGCGGCGUGCUUAACACAUGCAAGUCGAACGGAAAGGCCCUGCUUUUGUGGGGUGCUCGAGUGGCGAACGGGUGAGUAACCCGUGAGUAACCUGCCCUUGACUUUGGGAUAACUUCAGGAAACUGGGGCUAAUACCGGAUAGGAGCUCCUGCUGCAUGGUGGGGGUUGAAAAGUUUCGGCGGUUGGGGAUGGACUCGCGUCUUAUCAGCUUGUUGGUGGGGUAGUGGCUUACCAAGGCUUUGCCGGGUGGCCGGCCUGAGAGGGUGACCGGCCACAUUGGGACUGAGAUACGGCCCAGACUCCUACGGGAGGCAGCGGUGGGGAAUAUUGCACAAUGGGCGGAAGCCUGAUGCGGCAACGCCGCGUGCGGGAUGACGGCCUUCGGGUUGUAAACCGCUUUCGCCUGUGACGAGGCGUGAGUGACGGUAAUGGGUAAAGAAGCACCGGCUAACUACGUG
rnacentral:rRNA from 1 species